UGCAGCAAAUGAUGUUGACAAAACACAAUUAGGAAACAAUCAGAAAGAGGAGGAUGUGAAUUUGUCGAUACAAAUCUCUAACGAACGUCAUGAUUCAGGAAUUGGUAGUUCAGAUACCAGUCACAGGACUAAUUUAGGAAAUAGAAGGAGCAGCAAAACACCUGAACUACAAGAUCACUCAUUGAGAGGGUUGGAAGUGCUUGGAUUGACGUUUGUGGAACUUCAGACUUGAAAACAAGUGUGUGCAGAUCUUUUGGUGAUGGGCAGCCAGAGGAGCAGACGCCAGGGCAGAUACAAGGAAAGAUGCCGCCUGACCUGCUGAGCGUUCCCGGCCACUUCUGUUUUUUGUUCCCAUAUUGGAGCCUUUGGAUGGUACAGCUCGUCAUUUAUAACAUUAUUUUGGAGGGAUUGAUUAUUUCAAACCCGGCUCUUGCCAGGCAAGUGCUGCGCCCACUACACUCUGGAGACUUGGAGAUGGUGCGGGGGCUGGAGGAGAAGCCAUUUGCCACGACAAAGUGGAAGCGGUGUGAAAGGCAGGACCUGAACCAAUCAUGGCGAGCUUCAUUAUUUAGCAAACAACAUCUGAUUUACUGGAAAUCCUGAGAUCCUCUGAGGAAACACGUGACUGAGCUGCUCCCUCCCCCCCAGUGAAUGUGAAAGUGUUGACAGAUGAAGGAACUUUGCUCGCUGUUGUUGUGGAAGCCGCCGAGGCAGUAAUUGCUGCUCUUUCUCUCUCACUCACGGACAUUUACUGGCCGUUCCCACAGAUGGUUCUGCUUCUCUAUUCACGAGGGGAUCGGGCGGGCAAGAGAAAGGGAAGGGUUGCGCGGCUGACGGGCUGUCAGGCUCUCAUCCUCCGUGUUAGUGAUUUGUUAUGCACGUAAAGGGGAAGUAAAGUGAUGUCUUUCAGGGUUGAAUUCCUAUUACAUA